rnacentral:rRNA from 1 species
AAUACAUGCAAGUAGAACGCUGAAGCUUGGUGCUUGCACCGAGCGGAUGAGUUGCGAACGGGUGAGUAACGCGUAGGUAACCUGCCUCUUAGCGGGGGAUAACUAUUGGAAACGAUAGCUAAUACCGCAUAAAAGUCGAUAUCGCAUGAUAUUGAUUUGAAAGGUGCAAUUGCAUCACUAAGAGAUGGACCUGCGUUGUAUUAGCUAGUUGGUGAGGUAACGGCUCACCAAGGCGACGAUACAUAGCCGACCUGAGAGGGUGAUCGGCCACACUGGGACUGAGACACGGCCCAGACUCCUACGGGAGGCAGCAGUAGGGAAUCUUCGGCAAUGGGGGCAACCCUGACCGAGCAACGCCGCGUGAGUGAAGAAGGUUUUCGGAUCGUAAAGCUCUGUUGUAAGAGAAGAACGAGUGUGAGAGUGGAAAGUUCACACUGUGACGGUAACAUACCAGAAAGGGACGGCUAACUACGUGCCAGCAGCCGCGGUAAUACGUAGGUCCCGAGCGUUAUCCGGAUUUAUUGGGCGUAAAGCGAGCGCAGGCGGUUAGAUAAGUCUGAAGUUAAAGGCUGUGGCUUAACCAUAGUACGCUUUGGAAACUGUUUAACUUGAGUGCAGAAGGGGAGAGUGGAAUUCCAUGUGUAGCGGUGAAAUGCGUAGAUAUAUGGAGGAACACCGGUGGCGAAAGCGGCUCUCU